GAGUUUGAUCCUGGCUCAGGAUGAACGCUGGCGGCGUGCCUAAUACAUGCAAGUCGAGCGAACGGACGAGAAGCUUGCUUCUCUGAUGUUAGCGGCGGACGGGUGAGUAACACGUGGAUAACCUACCUAUAAGACUGGGAUAACUUCGGGAAACCGGAGCUAAUACCGGAUAAUAUUUUGAACCGCAUGGUUCAAAAGUAAAAGACGGUCUUGCUGUCACUUAUAGAUGGAUCCGCGCUGCAUUAGCUAGUUGGUAAGGUAACGGCUUACCAAGGCAACGAUGCAUAGCCGACCCGAGAGGGUGAUCGGCCACACUGGAACUGAGACACGGUCCAGACUCCUACGGGAGGCAGCAGUAGGGAAUCUUCCGCAAUGGGCGAAAGCCUGACGGAGCAACGCCGCGUGAGUGAUGAAGGUCUUCGGAUCGUAAAACUCUGUUAUUAGGGAAGAACAUAUGUGUAAGUAACUGUGCACAUCUUGACGGUACCUAAUCAGAAAGCCACGGCUAACUACGUGCCA
rnacentral:rRNA from 1 species